GAUUCUGGCUCAGGAUGAACGCUGGCGGCGUGCUUAACACAUGCAAGUCGAACGGAGUUUAGAUGAAACCUAGUGAUUCUAAACUUAGUGGCGGACGGGUGAGUAACGCGUGGGUAACCUGCCAUAUACAGGGGGAUAACACUUAGAAAUAGGUGCUAAUACCGCAUAAGCGCACAGGACCGCAUGGUCUGGUGUGAAAAAACUCCGGUGGUAUAUGAUGGACCCGCGUCUGAUUAGCUAGUUGGUGAGGUAACGGCCCACCAAGGCGACGAUCAGUAGCCGGCCUGAGAGGGUGAACGGCCACAUUGGGACUGAGACACGGCCCAAACUCCUACGGGAGGCAGCAGUGGGGAAUAUUGCACAAUGGGGGAAACCCUGAUGCAAGCGACGCCGCGUGAGUGAAGAAGUAUUUCGGUAUGUAAAGCUCUAUCAGCAGGAAAGAAAAUGACGGUACCUGACUAAGAAGCCCCGGCUAACUACGUGCCAGCAGCCGC
rnacentral:rRNA from 1 species